CCUACGGGGGGCUGCAGUGGGGAAUAUUGGACAAUGGGGGGAACCCUGAUCCAGCCAUGCCGCGUGUGUGAAGAAGGCCCUCGGGUUGUAAAGCACUUUCAGUGAGGAAGAACGCCUGGUGGUUAAUACCCAUCAGGAAAGACAUCACUCACAGAAGAAGCACCGGCUAACUCCGUGCCAGCAGCCGCGGUAAUACGGAGGGUGCGAGCGUUAAUCGGAAUUACUGGGCGUAAAGCGCGCGUAGGUGGCUUGAUAAGCCGGUUGUGAAAGCCCCGGGCUCAACCUGGGAACGGCAUCCGGAACUGUCAAGCUAGAGUGCAGGAGAGGAAGGUAGAAUUCCCGGUGUAGCGGUGAAAUGCGUAGAGAUCGGGAGGAAUACCAGUGGCGAAGGCGGCCUUCUGGACUGACACUGACACUGAGGUGCGAAAGCGUGGGUAGCAAACAGGAUUAGAUCCCCAGUAGUC
rnacentral:rRNA from 1 species